UAACACAUGCAAGUUGAGCGAACCCUUCGGGGUGAGCGGCGGACGGGUGAGUAACGCGUGGGUAACCUGCCCUAUACACACGGAUAACGUACCGAAAGGUACGCUAAUACGAGAUAAUAUAUUUUCAUCGCAUGUUGAAAAUAUCAAAGCUCCGGCGGUAUAGGAUGGACCCGCGUCUGAUUAGCUAGUUGGUAAGGUAAUGGCUUACCAAGGCGACGAUCAGUAGCCGACCUGAGAGGGUGAUCGGCCACAUUGGAACUGAGACACGGUCCAAACUCC
rnacentral:rRNA from 1 species